rnacentral:lncRNA from 1 species
ACUGCGUGUUAAGCACAAAUCUUUACAAUAAUUCCAUUGAACAAAAGAUCAAAAGGGGGUUUGUAGAUUGUUUUCAAAAUGAUAAUAACGAGAAUAAAUUACACAAGCGUAUAAAAAUCAGUUAAACGAUAUGAGAAAGCAUGUUAGGGCAAGAUGUAUGAAUUGCUUUAUACUACACUACUUCCACAUUAUACGAUAUCAACGUUGUAAUUAUUCAAAGUCAAUUCUCAAGAAUUGUUUUCUCUAAUUCCUUAGCUGAAAACCAUUAACAGUCAAUUUCAAU